CUGACAUGUCUGCGAGUCAACGGGCGAGUAAACCCGGAAGGCGUAAGGAAGCUGAUUGGUGGGAUCCCCCUGAGGGGUGCACCGCCGACCGACCUUGAUCUUCUGUGAAGGGUUUGAGUGUGAGCAUACCUGUCGGGACACGAAAGAUGGUGAACUAUGCCUGAGCGGGGCGAAGCUAGAGGAAACUCUGGUGGAGGCCCGCAGCGAUACUAACGUGGAAAUCGUUCGUCUGACUUGGGUAUAGGAGCGAAAGACUAAACCGUCUAGUAGCUGG
rnacentral:rRNA from 1 species